GAUGAAGAACGCAGCGAAAUGCGAUACGUAAUGUGAAUUGCAAAUUCAGUGAAUCAUCGAGUCUUUGAACGCACAUUGCACCCCCUGGUAUUCCGGGGGGCAUGCCUGUCCGAGCGUCAUUGCUGCCCUCAAGCACGGCUUGUGUGUUGGGCCCCGUCCUCCGAUCCCGGGGGACGGGCCCGAAAGGCAGCGGCGGCACCGCGUCCGGUCCUCGAGCGUAUGGGGCUUUGUCACCCGCUCUGUAGGCCCGGCCGGCGCUUGCCGAUCAACCCAAAUUUUUUAUCCAGGUUGACCUCGGAUCAGGUAGGGAUACCCGCUGAACUUAAGCAUAUCAAUAAGCGGAGGA
rnacentral:misc_RNA from 1 species